rnacentral:rRNA from 1 species
AACGAACGCUGGCGGCAGGCUUAACACAUGCAAGUCGAACGGGCACCUUCGGGUGUCAGUGGCAGACGGGUGAGUAACGCGUGGGAACGUACCUUUCGGUUCGGAAUAACCCAGGGAAACUUGGACUAAUACCGGAUACGCCGGAAACGGGAAAGAUUCAUCGCCGAAAGAUCGGCCCGCGUCGGAUUAGCUAGUUGGUGAGGUAACGGCCCACCAAGGCGACGAUCCGUAGCUGGUCUGAGAGGAUGANCAGCCACACUGGGACUGAGACACGGCCCAGACUCCUACGGGAGGCAGCAGUGGGGAAUAUCGGACAAUGGGCGAAAGCCUGAUCCAGCCAUGCCGCGUGAGUGAAGAAGGCCUUAGGGUUGUAAAGCUCUUUCGUU